rnacentral:rRNA from 1 species
UACGGAGGGUGCAAGCGUUAAUCGGAAUUACUGGGCGUAAAGCGCACGCAGGCGGUUUGUUAAGUCAGAUGUGAAAGCCCCGGGCUCAACCUGGGAACGGCAUCUGAUACUGGCAAGCUUGAGUCUAGUAGAGGGAGGUAGAAUUCCAGGUGUAGCGGUGAAAUGCGCAGAGAUCUGGAGGAAUACCGGUGGCGAAGGCGGCCUCCUGGACUAAGACUGACGCUCAGGUGCGAAAGCGUGGGGGGCAAACAGG